GAUGAACGCUAGCUACAGGCUUAACACAUGCAAGUCGAGGGGCAGCAUGACGAUAGCUUGCUAUUGUUGAUGGCGACCGGCGCACGGGUGAGUAACGCGUAUCCAACCUGCCCUUGUCCAUCGGAUAACCCGUCGAAAGGCGGCCUAACACGAUAUGCAGUUCUCCGCAGGCAUCUAACGAGAACGAAAUGUAAAGGAGAAGGAUGGGGAUGCGUCUGAUUAGCUUGUUGGCGGGGUAACGGCCCACCAAGGCGACGAUCAGUAGGGGUUCUGAGAGGAAGGCCCCCCACAGUGGAACUGAGACACGGUCCAAACUCCUACGGGAGGCAGCAGUGAGGAAUAUUGGUCAAUGGGCGAGAGCCUGAACCAGCCAAGUAGCGUGCAGGACGACGGCCCUAUGGGUUGUAAACUGCUUUUAUGCGGGGAUAAAGUGAGCCACGUGUGGCUUAUUGCAGGUACCGCAUGAAUAAGGACCGGCUAAUUCCGUGCCAGCCGCCGCCGUAA
rnacentral:rRNA from 1 species